rnacentral:rRNA from 1 species
CGGCUAAAUGAGGACAAAGCUGUCUCUUACGGCCUAGCCAAUGAAAUUGAUCCUCCAGUACAAAAGCUGGAAUAAACUCAUAAGACGAGAAGACCCUGUGGAGCUUUAAAACCAAGAUCAUUAAACUAUGCUCCUUGGAUUUUUAGUUGGGGCGACUUUGGAGCAAAAAAAACCCUCCAAAACAUAAAUUUAAUUAUUUAGACCAACACACCAAGAAAAUUAUAUUAGACCCAGCAGUAUUUUUUUACUGUCUGACCAAUGAACCAAGUUACCCCAGGGAUAACAGCGCUAUCCUCUUCUAGAGUCCCUAUCGACAAGAGGGUUUACGACCUCGAUGUUGGAUCAGGACACCCCUAUAGUGCAGCCGCCAUAAAAGGUUCGUUUGUUCAACGAUUAAAGUCCUACGUGAUCUGAGUUCAGACCGG